AGCGCAACCCUUAAGCUUAGUUGCCAUCAUUAAGUUGGGCACUCUAAGUUGACUGCCGGUGACAAACCGGAGGAAGGUGGGGAUGACGUCAAAUCAUCAUGCCCCUUAUGAUUUGGGCUACACACGUGCUACAAUGGACAAUACAAAGGGCAGCGAAACCGCGAGGUCAAGCAAAUCCCAUAAAGUUGUUCUCAGUUCGGAUUGUAGUCUGCAACUCGACUACAUGAAGCUGGAAUCGCUAGUAAUCGUAGAUCAGCAUGCUACGGUGAAUACGUUCCCGGGUCUUGUACACACCGCCCGUCACACCACGAGAGUUUGUAACACCCGAAGCCGGUGGAGUAACCUUUUAGGAGCUAGCCGUCGAAGGUGGGACAAAUGAUUGGGGUGAAGUCGUAACAAGGUAGCCGUAUCGGAAGGUGCGGCUGGAUCACCUCCUUU
rnacentral:rRNA from 1 species